GUGUCAGCAGCCGCGGUAAUACGGAGGGUGCAAACGUUGCUCGGAAUCAUUGGGCGUAAAGCGCACGUAGGCGGCUUCUUAAGUCGGGUGUGAAAGCCCUCGGCUCAACCGAGGAAGUGCAUUCGAAACUGAGGGGCUUGAAUACUGGAGAGGAUGGCGGAAUUCCCGGUGUAGAGGUGAAAUUCGUAGAUAUCGGGAGGAACACCAGCGGCGAAGGCGGCCAUCUGGACAGAUAUUGACGCUGAGGUGCGAAAGCGUGGGGAGCAAACAGGAUUAGAAACCCCCGUAGUCC
rnacentral:rRNA from 1 species